UCUUAUCUUAUCUUUCGAGCUGGCAUUUUGUCUUCUUGAUUUUUAUUCUAGAUGUACUUCUGGAAUAAUGUUAUCUUCUCCAUUACAUCUUGAACAUUGGUGAUCUGGAUAUUUGUGUCCAAUUAUUUUACAAUAUCUUGUCAGUAGUUCGUCUGAAAUAAAUUCUUUUUUAAUUGCUCUUGCGGUAGAUUGUUUUUCUGGGUU
rnacentral:lncRNA from 1 species